AGGACGAACGCUGGCGGCGUGCUUAACACAUGCAAGUCGAGCGGUAAGGCUCCUUCGGGAGUACACGAGCGGCGAACGGGUGAGUAACACGUGAGCAAUCUGCCCUUCUCUUCGGAAUAAGCGUUGGAAACGACGUCUAAUGCCGAAUACGACCUCCUUUCACAUGAUCGGAGGUGGAAAGCUCCGGCGGAGAAGGAUGAGCUCGCGGCCUAUCAGCUAGUUGGUGUGGGUAACGGCCCACCAAGGCGACGACGGGUA
rnacentral:rRNA from 1 species